rnacentral:rRNA from 1 species
AACGAACGCUGGCGGCAUGCCUAACACAUGCAAGUCGAACGAGACCUUCGGGUCUAGUGGCGCACGGGUGCGUAACGCGUGGGAACCUGCCCUUAGGUUCGGAAUACCUCCCCGACAGGGGUGCUAAUACCGGAUAAUGUCUUCGGACCAAAGAUUUAUUGCGUUUGGUUGGGCCCGCGUUGGAUUAGCUCGUUGGUAGGGUAAUAGCCUACCAAGGCGACGAUCCAUAGCUGGUCAGAGAGGCUGAUCAGCCACACUGGGACUGAGACGCGGCCCAGACUCCUACGGGAGGCAGCAGAGGGGAAUAGAGGAAAAUGGGCGAAAGGAUGAUCCAGUAAUGACGGGUGAGUGAUGAAGGCCGGAGGGUUGUAAAGCUCUUGUACCCGGGAUGAUAAUGACAGUACCGGGAGAAUAAGCUCCGGCUAACUCCGUG